UUAGGUUUUCUUCAUUUUCUUUUGAAAUUUUUCUGGGAUUCUUGUUGUUGAAGGUUGACGGAGAUGAUAUGAAGAUGAAAAAGAGGAGAAG
rnacentral:pre_miRNA from 1 species